rnacentral:siRNA from 1 species
UUAAGAUGGAAUUGAGUUUA